rnacentral:sRNA from 1 species
GACAAUCCCCAGAGCCCCGCGGCCCGGCCUCGGGGCAGCCAUGGACUCGCAGGAAUUGAAGACUUUGAUUAAUUACUAUUGUCAAGAGAGAUAUUUCCAUCAUGUAUUACUGGUUGCCAGUGAAGGAAUUAAGAGGUAUGGAAGUGAUCCAGUCUUCAGGUUUUAUCAUGCCUAUGGCGCAUUAAUGGAAGGUAAAACUCAAGAAGCUCUUCGAGAAUUUGAGGCUAUUAAAAAUAAACAAGAUGUAUCACUUUGUUCUCUACUUGCACUGAUAUAUGCCCAUAAAAUGAGUCCUAAUCCAGAUAGAGAAGCUAUUCUGGAAUCAGAUGCCAGAGUGAAGGAACAACGUAAAGGAGCUGGAGAGAAAGCCUUAUACCAUGCAGGCUUAUUUUUAUGGCACAUUGGUCGCCAUGAUAAAGCAAGGGAAUAUAUUGACAGAAUGAUCAAAAUAUCAGAUGGUAGUAAACAGGGACACGUUUUGAAAGCAUGGCUUGAUAUUACAAGAGGAAAAGAGCCUUACACUAAAAAAGCACUGAAGUAUUUUGAAGAGGGACUCCAAGAUGGGAAUGAUACUUUUGCUCUGCUGGGUAAAGCACAAUGCCUUGAGAUGCGCCAGAAUUAUUCAGGUGCCCUGGAGACUGUGAACCAGAUAAUCGUGAACUUUCCGAGCUUCCUUCCUGCUUUUCUUAAGAAAAUGAAAUUACAACUAGCCUUGCAGGAUUGGGACCAGACAGUUGAGACAGCACAAAGGUUGCUGCUCCAAGAUAGCCAAAAUGUGGAAGCACUGAGAAUGCAGGCACUCUACUAUGUGUGUAGAGAGGGGGAUAUAGAGAAGGCUUCCACCAAGCUGGAAAACUUGGGAAAUGCAUUGGAUGCCAUGGAACCACAGAAUGCUCAACUUUUCUAUAACAUUACACUCGCCUUCAGCAGAACUUGUGGACGUAGUCAACUUAUUCUUCAAAAAAUUCAAACAUUACUUGAGAGAGCUUUUAGUUUAAACCCUCAGCAAUCAGAAUUUGCUACAGAACUUGGAUACCAAAUGAUUUUACAAGGAAGAGUUAAAGAGGCACUGAAGUGGUAUAAGACCGCCAUGACACUUGAUGAGACUAGUGUGUCUGCCCUAGUUGGAUUUAUCCAAUGUCAGUUGAUAGAAGGGCAAUUACAGGAUGCAGAUCAGCAGCUAGAAUUUUUAAAUGAAAUCCAGCAAUCCAUUGGAAAAUCUGCGGAAUUAAUCUAUUUACAUGCAGUUCUUGCCAUGAAGAAAAAUAAACGACAAGAAGAAGUUAUUAAUUUGUUAAAUGAUGUCCUGGACACUCACUUUUCACAAUUAGAAGGUUUGCCUCUUGGCAUACAGUAUUUUGAAAAGCUAAAUCCUGAUUUCUUGUUAGAAAUUGUUAUGGAGUAUCUGAGCUUCUGUCCAAUGCAGGUAAGUAAUUAUGGGACUUACUUUCAAGGAUGCGUUUACUUGAUGUUUUAUGAAAGAACUUAAGUUUUCUGUGAUGCAUUAGACUAUAUUGGCAUCUUAAAAUGGUAGUAUUUGUACCUAUGUUAGUUGAAAUCACUUUUAAUCAGACUGUUUUUAGUAAUGACUGCUGUCAACUACUGAAAGUAUUGGUUUGCAAAUAUUCAUUUGUAUUUCAUAAAAUCUUAAAAUCUUCAGUUUAAAGAAAUAUUAAAAGGCAUCUAAUUCAGACACCUACCUUAUAUUUGCUACCAGUCUGUAACAUCACUGUCAAUGUCUAUCCCAUGUCCGGACACACUAAAAUGAAGUUCUUGUCAUAUAACUAUGAUUGUUAGCCUGUGUUUCCUGUGUUAAGUCAAACUCUGCUUUUGGUUAAAAAA